rnacentral:tRNA from 1 species
UGGGGUAUAUCUCAGUGGUAGAGCACAUGCUUAGCAUGCAUGAGGCCCUGGGUUCAAUCCCCAGUACCUCUG